rnacentral:misc_RNA from 1 species
GAUGAAGAACGUAGCGAAAUGCGAUAAGUAAUGUGAAUUGCAGAAUUCAGUGAAUCAUCGAAUCUUUGAACGCACAUUGCGCCCGCCAGUAUUCUGGCGGGCAUGCCUGUCCGAGCGUCAUUUCAACCCUCGAACCCCUCCGGGGGGUCGGCGUUGGGGAUCGGGAACCCCUAAGACGGGAUCCCGGCCCCGAAAUACAGUGGCGGUCUCGCCGCAGCCUCUCCUGCGCAGUAGUUUGCACAACUCGCACCGGGAGCGCGGCGCGUCCACGUCCGUAAAACACCCACCUUCUGAAAUGUUGACCUCGGAUCAGGUAGGAAUACCCGCUGAACUUAAGCAUAUCAAUAAGCGGAGGA